rnacentral:rRNA from 1 species
UACGUAGGGUGCGAGCGUUGUCCGGAAUUACUGGGCGUAAAGAGCUCGUAGGUGGUUUGUCGCGUUGUUCGUGAAAACUCACAGCUCAACUGUGGGCGUGCGGGCGAUACGGGCAGACUAGAGUACUGCAGGGGAGACUGGAAUUCCUGGUGUAGCGGUGGAAUGCGCAGAUAUCAGGAGGAACACCGGUGGCGAAGGCGGGUUC